UCCUACGGGCGGCAGCAGUCGAGGAUCUUCGUCAAUGGGCGCAAGCCUGAACGAGCGACGCCGCGUGCGCGAUGAAGGCCUUCGGGUUGUAAAGCGCGAAAGUGGGGAUAAAGCCGAAAGGUUGAUAGAUCCACAGUAAGGACGGGCUAAGUUCGUGCCAGCAGCCGCGGUAAGACGAACUGUCCUAACGUUGUUCGGAAUCACUGGGCUUAAAGGGCGCGUAGGCGGUCCGACAAGUCAGGGGUGAAAUCCUGCAGCUUAACUGCAGAAGUGCCUUUGAUACUGUCGGUCUCGAGGGAGAUAGGGGUGUGCGGAACUUCCAGUGGAGCGGUGAAAUGCGUUGAUAUUGGAAGGAACGCCGGAGGCGAAAGCGGCGCACUGGAUCUCUUCUGACGCUGAGGCGCGAAAGCUAGGGGAGCAAACGGGAUUAGAUACCCUUGUAGUCA
rnacentral:rRNA from 1 species